UACCUUUAUCCGGGGGAAUAGUCCAGGGAAACUUGGAUUAAUGCCCCAUAGUAUAUAGACUUCUCCUGAAGUUUAUAUUAAACAUUUAUGGCUAUUAGAUGGGUAUGCGUCCUAUUAGUUAGUUGGUAAGGUAACGGCUUACCAAGGCAGCGAUAGGUAGGGGUCCUGAGAGGGAGAUCCCCACACUGGUACUGAGACACGGACCAGACUCCUACGGGAGGCAGCAGUGAGGAAUAUUGGACAAUGGGCGAGGGCCUGAUCCAGCCAUGCCGCGUGCAGGAAGACUGCCCUAUGGGUUGUAAACUGCUUUUACAGAGGAAGAACCACCCCACGUGUGGGGGUUUGACAGUACUCUGCGAAUAAGGAUCGGCUAACUCCGUG
rnacentral:rRNA from 1 species